GAUGAACGCUGGCGGCGUGCCUAAUACAUGCAAGUCGAGCGAACAGACGAGGAGCUUGCUCCUCUGACGUUAGCGGCAGACGGGUGAGUAACACGUGGAUAACGUACCUAUAUGACUGGGAUAACUUCGGGACACCGGAGCUAAUACCAUAUGAUAUAUUGAACCGCAUGGUUCAAUAGUGAAAGACGGUUUUGCUGUAACUUCUAGAUGGAUCCGCGCCGCAUUAGCUAGUUGGUAAGGUAACGGCUUACCAAGGCAAGCAUGCGUACCCGACCUGAGAGGGGGGUCGGCCGCACUGGAGCUGGGACAGGGUCCAGACUCCUACGGGAGGCAGCAGUAGGGAAUCUGCCGCAAUGGGCGAAAGCAUGACGGAGCAACGCCGCGUGAGUGAUGAAGGCCUUCGGAGCGUAAAACUCUGUUAUUAGGGAAGAACAAAUGUGUAAGUAACUAUGCACGUCGUGACGGUACCUAAUCAGAAAGCCACGGCUAACUACGUG
rnacentral:rRNA from 1 species